GAGACCCGGCACACGGGUGGGAAGGCACGGCACGGGCCAGCCAAGAGGUGGGCCUUCGGGGGAGUCGGGAGUUGGCCAACAAAGACUACCAGGACCUACCGGAAAAAAAUACAUAUUUUUCUCUUCAAAUUAAAGGGUAAAGCUGUUGUAAAUAAGGGGUGAGAAUGCCACUGAAGUGCUAAAAAAAUGCAUGGGCGCAUCGAUGCGCACGGACAUCCUUCCGCCCGCUCGGCGGUACCGCCUGGGCGGCCCCUCAGCCCCGGAGCUGCAGCGGGCGCGGGCAGCGAGCGCGGCCCUGCCAGGCAGCGGCACUGCUGUCUCUGCUCUCUUACCUUGCAGGAUUCCAUGGAAAGUUAUGGGACACUCACCCCAACUUUUGGAGACCCAGCAUUCACCAUUUCCGGAGACCAUCAGAGACCACAGGUGGAAUGUUGAAAUAAAGCAAGAAAGAGUUUUCUACUGACGAGAUGUCCAGACAGACAUGACUAAAGAGAUGAGCAGCCACCCAUAUCCUAGGUUUUUCUCCCUUAGUUCCAGUGCAAAUAUGUCUUUCAAACCAUCUGGAAGGCUGAGAAACAGCUGACAAAGCAUGGUCUGUUUCCAGAGCUACAGCAAACCAAAAAUACACAAAGCCCGGAAAUCAAGAGCUAGGAGCAAGGGAUUCCAUGACUGUUGUGGUAAAUUGCCUGUGAUCAAAUGUUGUGGCUGUGUUCCAAAUUUAUUGCAGAAGAACCUGGCUUAGGAGAACCAGUGAUGGUGAAGGCACCUCAUACUGAAGCAUCUAGUAGUAAUUCCUAAUUUUACUCCAAGGCAGAUGUGAUAUAAAUGAUUCAGCUGAGCUUGAGAAUGUCCCGAAGUUUGACCCUAUCAAUAGAGCCAACUGCAUUGUUGAAAAAACCAAGCUGCAAGCAAAGGCUGACAUGUAACAGAGCUGUUAAUAAGUACAAAACAUUGGUUUCUGUAUGCAAAAUUUAAAAUAUACCAGGAGAAAAGAACUGGAACAAGAAUCUUUAAUAUAGGCUUGCAGUCAUUAUCAGUCAGCUCCAUCAGACUUUAUGUUAACCUCCAUUCUUUUACACUUAGCCAAAAUUUAGAAUUUUAUGAGGACUGUGUGUAUUCAGUAAAGAGAAAACAAAAUCCUAUUCCUUCAUUUGGAACAAUUUUUACAUGUUUUAACUCAAAGAUUCCCUCUUAUUCUAUCUACAUGUUUUUUAUGUUUGCUGGUGUUGUAGAGUAUAACCUCAGAUAAUGCAGAAGUAAUAUCUAAAGGUAUGCAAAAUUAAAUCUUUGAGGUGAUAAUGCUAACAAUUGACCUGUGAUGCUAGCUUCUACUCUUUUCUAUGUUUCUACUUCAUCAUGUCUCCUAGUGUUGCCUGAACAAAAACUCUGAGAAGCAAGAGGCAUCUUUGCCCUGCACCUCGGUUAGAGCUGCUCCUCCCCUCAGCAGAGUGCACGACAGAAGGAUGCUGCUGCAUGUGCAGAACAAGUGGCAGUCUGUGGUGCUGUGAGGAGCACGAGACAUUGUUAAAAGUCUAAGUGAGGCUUCAGAUUCAGCAGAAGAGGAGAGGACCUAAACUUUGUAAUGCACUUUGAGAUUUACUAUAAGGAGAGAUGCUGAAAACAAGGGUUCUGUGGUUUCCUCUUGUAUUGCAACCUUCCAGCCGAAGACCAUCUAAGUCAAAACAGAAGGAACAGAAAGCCUCAUUUAUCUAAGACAGCAACUUCUUGCAGGUGAAAACUGAAGGUGAUAUCUUCACUCCAUUACAAUGGUAUGGCUUGUUACAAGCUUGACAGAGCAAAAUAUAAACAAACAAAUGCACAAUUACUUUUGUUUGUGGGGACAAGCAAAAACUAUCAAAAAUGUAGCAUACUCAGCUGGCAUUAUUUGUAGACUGGCUGGCAGCCUCUGCAGAGAGAACAAGAAAUACUAAAAUACAUUCAAAGGUGCUAUUUCCAGAGAACUUUACAGAUGUGCUAGCCAGGCAAUGUGGGAAAUGGGCCUUCCACAUGUCUGCAACACCCCUACCAGAUUUAGAAGGUAAAGUAAAGGGACUAGUAGAGUUUCAGCUAAAGUGCUUAUUGUUAUAGAAGUAUUGGCACAAUUUUUCUUUGAAAAUCAAAAUAUAUGGACUCAUUCCCAAAGCUCAAAAAAUGAAGACUUGCACAUUUUGGAUUGUCCUGCAGUGCUAAGCUACAUGUUUCUGCUCUGUUGGGCAAGUGUAACAGCAGAAAAUAAAUAGACAGCAUCCUCUGCAGGAGUUACAGGAAAAGCUAUACUGCGGUAAAGCUAAGGCAUAAUACCUUGUCUAAUUCUAUACCACAAUUUCAAUUUUCUGCCAUUGUUAGUCCCAGUAGAACUGUGCUGUAGACAUCAAAGGCUCUGAAUUUUUCAGUCUUGAGGUAUCGUAAAAGCUACAGUCUUGCAAUUCAUCUUUAAUGAGUUGUUCACAUGGAAAUCAAACAGCCAUGGAUUUCUUGAAAAUAGCCGAGGAUCAUUCCUAUCUUGUGUCCAGCACUCUGUCUCUUAAAAACAACUUCUGUGGCCAAUGAUCAACUAUCACUGAGUGAGAUUCAUAGCUGUAAUAAAGUUGUUUACUGUUUCAUUCUGAACAGUUUUCUUAUUUAUGUGCCCCAGCCCGUAAUUUCUAAAAUAUAUACCAUCUCUUAUUGCUGUGACCUGGAAUUUACUAAAAGUAUCACUAAGAAAUCACAAGAAACUACUCUUACUUUUAUUCCUCUCUUAAGAAUAGGCUGAGAGCCUUUACACACAGCUGUCUGAACUUGGAUCGUUUUCAGAUAAAAGUAUUAUUUAUGCUCUAAAGUGUCCCAGGAGCCUCCUAGACAGAACUGUACACAGUUAGGAUCUGCCUAUUUUCACAUAUGGGGAAACCAGGCAAGAUUCAUAAUGGAAAAUUUCAUUCCAGAUCUGCAUUUAGGUGAGUCUGGACCAUGCAUAUGCACACACAAAGUUCAUAAUAGCUGCUUGAGAGGUCAUUGGACCUUCAGCACGAUCACUUCAGGAAAAUGCUGAUAUUUUCAUUGCUUUUGCUAAAUCUGUUUGUUCCUAUGUUCCAGUUUUUUCUUUUGUCAAACAUCCCUUCUUGGUCUUACUACCUUUUUUCCCAAAAUUAUAUAUUGUUGAUUUGUAUUUUAGACACCAAGAGUUUUAGCUCAGUUAUAAGAUAUACUGUUCCAUAUAAGCACACGUUGACACUGGAUACAAUCCAGGAUUAAAUAUAUAGAACCUGGGCUGUCACAUCAAAGGAUACUCAGUAAAUUUAGUCCUUUAACCUUAUG